GUGAAUUUAGAGGUCGAAAGACGACCUUCCUCUUCACCAUCUUUCUGACCUCCGAUUGGAGUUCCUCUGGCCGCUUCACCGCAGGCUCUGGCUUCCUUUUCUCCAGUCUGCGCAGGAAGUCUCUGUGAUGACCAGGUCUCACCGUCCAGAUCUGCAGGCAGCUCAGCCUUCAGAACCGUGACAGAGCCAAGUGAUUGUUGGGAGCAGAGGAAUGGGAGAAAGCCAGAAAUCCAUUGAAAGAUACUUUUAAUCCACUUAGGAAUACUUACGUAAAUACAUCUUGAAAACUUAAACUGGAAAUAAGCUUACACCAGAAUGAAACCAGUAGGCUGUGCAGGGGCUGGCUGUGGUCAGGACUCAGCAGGUGAAGGUGCCUGCUGCCCAGCCUGAUGAUCCGAGUCCACUUUCUGGAAUCUCCAUGGUUGACUGCCUCCAAGAGAUCCAGUUUCUCUGUCCUUUAGACUGCCGAGAGGGGACUGGCCAUCUACCUCUCAUAGGCAAUGCUGUCCCUUUGAUCCUGCAGGCCAACAGCUCCCUCUGGUGGUCUCUAGUGGAAGUCUCGACUGUAAGGGGCUUCUGUCUCCUGGGAGGUGGAUGGAGUGGAGAAGGCGAGAUCAGCCGUGGUUCUAGUGGACUCUGCACAGCGCUCCGCACCGUUCAGAUCCCAUAUUUGCCUGAGUGGGGGAGAGGGAACUUGGGAGAGCGUCAGUGAGCCUUGUUACUGUGAUAAAAUAAAUGUCUGGCAAAAACAAAAGAAGACAGUCUUUUGGGGGUUUCAGCCUGUGAUGGGCGAGUUCCAUCGCUUCUGGACCCAUGAUGGAGGCAGCACAUCAUGGUGGAGAGGGCACGGUACAGGCGGCAGAGAUGCUCAUCUCAUUGAGGCAGGGAACAGGUAAAGGGUCCAGGAGACAAGAUGUACCCUUCAAAGGCAUGCCCUGGUGACCUAUGUCCUUCAGUUACACCCUAGCUCCUAACAGGCCAUUCAGUAUCAGAGGGCUGCUCAAUCCUUUGCCCUCAUGAACCAGGAACCUCUCACUAGCACCCCCAACUGGAGCCAAACCUUCAUUGCAUGAGCCUAUUAGGGUUACACUGGAUACACAAACAGGAACAGAGUGCAAGCCCUAAGCCCCACUGC
rnacentral:lncRNA from 1 species